rnacentral:rRNA from 1 species
CAAUAGCGUAUAUUAAAGUUGUUGCGGUUAAAAAGCUCGUAGUUGGAGUUCUGCCAGGUGACGCUCGUCCGCCCAAGUGGUGUGUACAGGGCGUGCAUCUGGCCCUUUCAAGGGGAACGUGUCUGCACUUUACUGUGUGGUGCGAGAUCCUUGACUUUUACUUUGAGGAAAUCAGAGUGUUCCAAGCAGGCUCUCGUCGUGUAUAGCUCAGCAUGGAAUAAUAGCAUUGGACUUCGUUUCUAAGCUGUUGGUUGCAAGAAGCGAGGUAAUGAUGAAGAGGGAUAGUUGGGGGCAUUCGUAUUUAACUGUCAGAGGUGCAAUUCUUGGAUUUGUUAAAGACGGACUACUGCGAAAGCAUCUGCCAUGGAUGUUUUCAUUGA